rnacentral:rRNA from 1 species
ACCUCUGCAAUAGGCGAAAGCUUGACAGGGUUACUCUGAGUGACGUCCGUUAAGGACGUCUUUUGGCACCUCUAAAAAUGGUGCAGAAUAAGGGGUGGGCAAGUCUGGUGUCAGCCGCCGCGGUAAUACCAGCACCCCGAGUGGUCGGGACGAUUAUUGGGCCUAAAGCAUCCGUAGCCGGUUCUGCAAGUCUUCCGUUAAAUCCACCUGCUCAACAGAUGGGCCGCGGAGGAUACUACAGGGCUAGGAGGCGGGAGAGGCAAGCGGUACUCAGUGGGUAGGGGUAAAAUCCUCUGAUCCACUGAAGACCACCAGUGGCGAAGGCGGCUUGCCAGAACGCGCUCGACGGUGAGGGAUGAAAGCUGGGGGAGCAAACCGGAUUAGAUACCCGGGUAGUCCCAGCUGUAAACGAUGCAGACUCGGUGAUGGGUUGGCUUUGGGCCAACCCAGUGCCGCAGGGAAGCCGUUAAGUCUGCCGCCUGGGGAGUACGGUCGCAAGACUGAAACUUAA